rnacentral:tRNA from 1 species
AGGGUAAUAGCUCAAUUGGUAGAGCAGCGGUCUCCAAAACCGCGUGUUGGGAGUUCGAGUCUCUCUUACCCUGCCA